rnacentral:rRNA from 1 species
CAGUAGCCACGGUAAUACGAAGGGUGCAAGCGUUAAUCGGAAUUACUGGGCGUAAAGCGUGCGUAGGCGGUGAGUUAAGUCUGCUGUGAAGUCCCCGGGCUCAACCUGGGAAUGGCAGUGGAUACUGGCUCGCUAGAGUGUGUCAGAGGAUGGUGGAAUUCCCGGUGUAGCGGAGAAAUGCGUAGAGAUCGGGAGGAACAUCAGUGGCGAAGGCGGCCAUCUGGGACAACACUGACGCUGAGGCACGAAAGCGUGGGGAGCAAACAGGAUUAGAUACCCGGGUAGUCCCUGUCUCUUAUAC